rnacentral:rRNA from 1 species
CUUUCCCUCUGGCGGUAUGCUUUACACAUGCAAGUCGAACGGCAGCGCGGGCUUCGGCCUGGCGGCGAGUGGCGAACGGGUGAGUAAUACAUCGGAACGUGCCCAGUAGUGGGGGAUAGCUCGGCGAAAGCCGGAUUAAUACCGCAUACGACCUGAGGGUGAAAGCGGGGGAUCUUCGGACCUCGCGCUUUUUGAGCGGCCGAUGGCAGAUUAGCUAGUUGGUGGGGUAAAGGCCUACCAAGGCGACGAUCUGUAGCUGGUCUGAGAGGACGACCAGCCACACUGGGACUGAGACACGGCCCAGACUCCUACGGGAGGCAGCAGUGGGGAAUUUUGGACAAUGGGCGAAAGCCUGAUCCAGCAAUGCCGCGUGUGUGAUGAAGGCCUUCGGGUUGUAAAGCACUUUUGGCGGGAACGAAAAGGACUGUGCCAAUACCACGGUUCGAUGACGGUACCCGCAGAAUAAGCACCGGCUAACUACGUG